rnacentral:lncRNA from 1 species
CCCAAUAAAAAUCCCUUUUUGUUGUUGUGGUGUAGGGUAACAGCACCAAACAUGCCUUCACAAACUUGAACUUGAAUCGCAGACCCAAGUUUUGAAAUCAGCAUUCUAAAUACUAGAAAUGUGGUAAACACCACCCUCAAAAUGGGAAAAUAAUGGGCUUGGAAGAAUUGAUGAAGACAGUGUGGAGGGUGAGGAGGUGGAGUUGGCAGCUUUGUGCUGUCAACAGAGUGGCCCCCACAUGUAGUACCCAUGUGUCCCAACUUCUUAAGCACUUCAAAGCACAACAGUGUCUUUCAUCAAAAGGUUUUAUAAAAACACUUGAUUGUGGUGGGAAAAUAACAAUAACAAUAACAAUGUGUGUAUAUAUGUAUAUAUAUAUAUAUAUAUAUACAGAGAGAGAGAGAGAGAGAGAGAGAGAAUUUGUUCAUAAAUUUGUGUUGGUUUUUAGGGUUUUCUUUGGCUUUUGUGUGAUGGGUCACAAACAGAGAAAUUUUACAGCAAACAAAACAAGGGUAUUAUUUAUUUAUUUAUUUAUUUAUUUAUUUUUAUCUCUGCUGAUUAGCAAGAGUUGGUGGAGACCCCAUGAUGGUGAACAUGAUGGCUCAAGACAAUCAAAUAUAUUAAUAGUUAGGGAAUCUCACCAAAAGAGUGCAACACUGCUGAUGCACAUACAUAGUUCACAGUACUUAUGUGCAAGAAUUCUAGUGAGUGGGACUUUAUGUGUGUGUGUUGCUACACAACAUUGUUGAGAGACAUAGAGCGAAAUUGUGCUGUGAUGUAAAUCCUAAUCCCAUGAACCUGAUCAUGCUGUCGUGUGAACCCUAAAACUUUAUUGUGGUCUUGUUUCCUUGAGGAGCACUAAACAAAAUAAAUUCUCUUGAUGCAAGAAAUUACAUCACAAGGCUUUUAAAUAAAAAGCAUGUAGAAUCCUAUUUUGAAUAGAAGCAAACAUGCAAUUUCUGCAAUGGUUGUUUGUAGUAAAAGUAACGAUGUUUAUACAAUCUUUUAUUUUAUUUUAUUUUACUUUACAUUUUGUUUCCUUUGAUAAAUAUUAAGUUGGAUUUUGAUUACUGGAAGACAAAGCAAAAGACCUGAAAAAAGGAGUACUAUGGAUGCAGCAAAAUCCAUACCUGUCUUUUGAAUGAGCUGAAAGUGAACUUUGCACAUCAAGUAA